rnacentral:tRNA from 1 species
GGGCGCCUGAGCGCCCGCCGCGCCGGCGCGCGCCCGCGCGCCUCGGGCCGCGCGGGCGCGCGCCCGCGCGCCCGCGCGCCUCGGGCCGCGCGGGCGCGCGCC